UACACUUUAAUAUAAGAUGUAUAUUAAUUUUUGAUAUUAAAAGAGAUAGGUUGAUCCUAUUAAGUGUAA
rnacentral:tRNA from 1 species